rnacentral:rRNA from 1 species
AACCCUCGCUGUGUGUUACAAGUGUCACACGGUACUGCCGGUCUUAAGCCGGAGGAAGGUGGGAUGACGUCAAGUCAGCAUGGCCUUUAUGUCCUGGGCCACACACACGCUACAAUGGCCAACACAAUAGGUUGCUAAGCCGCGAGGUGGAGCCAAUCCUCAAAGUUGGUCUCAGUUCAGAUUGCAGGCUGCAACCCGCCUGCAUGAAGGUGGAGUUGCUAGUAACCGCAGGUCAGCUAUACUGCGGUGAAUACGUUCCCGGGGCUU